rnacentral:rRNA from 1 species
GGAUAACCUACCCUUAGGACCGGGAUAACCUUGGGAAACUGAGGAUAAUACUGGAUAGGCAAUUUUUCCUGUAAUGGUUUUUUGUUUAAAUGUUUUUUCGCCUAAGGAUGGGUCUGCGGCCGAUUAGGUAGUUGGUUAGGUAAUGGCUUACCAAGCCGUUGAUCGGUACGGGUUGUGAGAGCAAGAGCCCGGAGAUGGAACCUGAGACAAGGUUCCAGGCCCUACGGGGUGCAGCAGGCGCGAAACCUCCGCAAUGUGAGAAAUCGCGACGGGGGGAUCCCAAGUGCCAUUCUUAACGGGAUGGCUUUUCAUUAGUGUAAAGAGCUUUUGGAAUAAGAGCUGGGCAAGACCGGUGCCAGCCGCCGCGGUAACACCGGCAGCUCUAGUGGUAACAAUUUUUAUUGGGCCUAAAGCGUCCGUAGCCGGUUUAAUAAGUCUCUGGUGAAAUCCUGUAGCUUAACUGUGGGAAUUGCUGGAGAUACUAUUAGACUUGAGACCGGGAGAGGUUAGAGGUACUCCCAGGGUAGAGGUGAAAUUCUGUAAUCCUGGGAGGACCGCCUGUUGCGAAGGCGUCUAACUGGAACGGUUCUGACGGUGAGGGACGAAAGUUAGGGGCGCGAACCGGAUUAGAUACCCGGGUAGUCCUAACUGUAAACGAUGCGGACUUGGUGUUGGGGUGGCUUUGAGCUGUCCCAGUGCC